rnacentral:lncRNA from 1 species
GAACGCUACACCAAGCUCCGCUUGGUAUUUGUCCCUCGGACUAUAUAUUUCUAGAAGCGACCCUACUACCGUCAAGUCAAUUAGUACAUCUCUUCGAAGCUAUUUAAUGCGAUAAAAAUUUGUACUAGCUCCCUUUUGCCAUUGCCACGUAAAUCAGGCACAAUAUUGGCAUACAUUAUCGUGUUUGUGUGUAGGCCGUUAAACAAUGGCCCCUACCUCGGGAAGAAGAUUUUAAUCAAGCACCUGGAAAAGAAAACCUUCUACCGCUACCUUGGAGAGCGAAUUAGCUUACAACCGCAUCCUGAUGCAGUAGAAUAAAUUAAACAAGACAGCCCUACAGAGACAAGACAGCCCAACAACGUAGCCCUAGACUUCCCUUAACUACUGGCGACGACAAAUUCUACAGGGAUUGGGGACCUCCUUUAGGAACUGUAACGGAAGGACUUAAAGCUGAGUAAAUUUUUACCUUUAUAACUUUUGUACCGAUUACCAGCGGGGUCUCGGUCACGGGCUUAGAAAAUUAACUUGUUAUCAGUAUACCAUAAAAAUGAUUUUUGUUAAGUUUUUUUUAUAUUUCAAUAAAUAGCGUAUUUAAAAAUGA